UGGCAGAGUGGCUGUCGACAUUAGAGGCUGCCUUUGCAUUUGCACUGGAUUGGUCUCUCGACCUUUUUCACCUGUAGUUUCUGCUAACAGGGCUGGCCAUAUUAUCAGUGUCCUUGAGGAGGCUACCUUCCAAGUUACCUCCCUUUGUCCCUCUUUUGGUGCCGUUAACAGUCUCCUGUUCGUCUUCAGCAAUCCUAGUGUGCUGGCUUAGAUUAAUGUACCCUCCUCUCUCGGCUGCAGUUACGUUUGAGCUGUCUCUGUUAUUGGAUUGACUGCUUCCAGCAAAAGCAUUCUGCUUCUGGAUUACAUUAUC
rnacentral:lncRNA from 1 species